rnacentral:misc_RNA from 1 species
AUUACUGUUAUUAUUAUUAUUAUUAAACCACCCUUGCUCAUUCUGCAAUACUCUUGAAGACUUGUGAUGAUCAUCGCCGUUAUUUUGUAACAUAGAUCCACCAAAUCCCUGCAAUAUGCUCCCUAUUUGUGUUUCAUUUUGAUCAUGAUCAUGAUUACUUUGAAUUGGAAUUUGAACUCCAUUAAACAGAGUAGAGUUCAUGUUAUUGUUCACUGUUG